ACUGCGCCGAAAAUGUACCGGGGCUAAACAUAUUACCGAAGCUGUGGAUUGUCCUUUGGACAAUGGUAGGAGAGCGUUCUAAGGGCGUUGAAGCAUGAUCGUAAGGACAUGUGGAGCGCUUAGAAGUGAGAAUGCCGGUGUGAGUAGCGAAAGACGGGUGAGAAUCCCGUCCACCGAUUGACUAAGGUUUCCAGAGGAAGGCUCGUCCGCUCUGGGUUAGUCGGGUCCUAAGCUGAGGCCGACAGGCGUAGGCGAUGGAUAACAGGUUGAUAUUCCUGUACCACCUAUAAUCGUUUUAAUCGAUGGGG
rnacentral:rRNA from 1 species